UACGUAGGGUGCGAGCGUUGCCCGGAUUUAUUGGGCGUAAAGGGCACGUAGGCGGCCGCGCACGUCCGUUGUGAAAUCGCCCGGCUCAACUGGGCGGGGUCAGCGGAUACGGUGUGGCUAGAGCAAGCUAGGGGGCAAUGGAAUUCCCGGUGUAGUGGUGGAAUGCGUAGAUAUCGGGAGGAACACCAGUGGCGAAGGCGGUUGCCUGGAGCUUUGCUGACGCUGAUGCGCGAAAGCGUGGGGAGCGAUCCGG
rnacentral:rRNA from 1 species